AAUAAAAUAAAAUAAAGUAAAAUAAAAGGCGAAUAAAUGUCGAAGAUGUCGCCGCAACUGAGUCACAAUUUUACAACGAAAUGAAACUGAAGUGAAACAAAACGGGGCUACCCAUAAUCCCAAUAGGUAGCCCGAAAAGACACAAAAUAUUUAUCGCUUCCGGAUUGUGGAGCUGUCGCUGGGAGAUCCAAGACAAUUUCAUAUGCAUAAAUGGCCAUAAAUGUGGCCUUUUUGAAUCCACGAUCUUCCAGGCGGCUGCCCACGGUUGUCAACGGCUUCGAUUCGGGCCCGUGGCUUAUCUUACGGAUUUGAUUGAUAUUCGUAUCGAUUGCGUUUUGCGUUUGACAAGUUUUGCAAUGCGCGCCAACUGUGCAAACAGUGCAAACAGUGCAAACAGUGCAAACUGAGCAAACUGUGCAACCUGUUGCAGCAAAAAACCAACUCUCGAAAGUUUCGUUUAGUUUCGCUACGGUUUCGGCUCAGUUCGAUUCGAUUCGAUUCCGACUCGAAUUAAAUGCAUUUAUCAGUUUAUUUAUAUAUGUGUGUACGAAAUGCAUUUCCCAAAUGUCGAUGUGACUGACGAUGGAGCUGACAAUGCCUUCGUGUGGUUUCUGCUGCCUUUCGCCUCUUGAGCACCUGAGCUGAGCUCUGCACAGCUGUAACAAACUCGAUCUCUAAACACAGGGACUCCUCGCCGUAUUUUUCUGCCGAAAAAUACUAAACACUUUAUGCACGAUAAACAAAGACCUGGCCCUCUGAUGUUUGUCGUCAGGCCUUCAGUUCGGGCUAUCAACUCGGCUCAUCAACAAUAACAAUAUCGACGUUGCAGCUCGACUAGAUAAGGCGGGGAGGCCAGGAGGAGGAUGUUGGAGCCCAAAGUCGAAGUUGGAGCUGGAGCUGGGGGGCUUCAUUAGCAAGCCAAGACGGCCGGGCCAGAAGUAACAACGUUGCCAGCGAGCAGUGAAACCUUUUUAAAGAGUGAAACUGAGACGGGGAAUGCGGCUGGUGACCUCCUCCGCUUUUGUGGAAUGACCCCAGAUUGUAACGCCCGCCCAGGCAAAUUUCCGCCGUCUAGUUGGCCAAACUGCGACUAAGUGUGUAUGGCAAAUCAAGCCAACAUACAAGCAUCCAGAUCCAGAUACGGUGCACUUGCCAAAGUUGUGAAGGAGGAGUUGGAUACAACUGGCCCAACCUCCAAAUGCAAUCUGCGGCUCAUCUCUGGUUAGUUAAAUUAGCCCAGCGGAGUGGGUAACUAUCUUGCCAGCGACUAUCUGUGGUAGUCAUCUUUUAGUUACACAUUUUGUUGAUUUAAUUUUCAUGUUCCGCGCGGCCCAACACUUCCAUCAACUGACCACGAAAGUUCCGAGGGCACAAAAAGCCAGCCAAGUCCAAGUCCUCGACUUUUUCCAUUCAAUGUUGCGGCAAAGUGCAUAAUUGGUUUAUUAUUUUUAUUUUAUUUGCUCGACACGAUGACUGCAGCCAGCAGCUUCCUGCCAUAUUGCUCGCAUCGCUGAGCAGCGAUUUUCCUUUUUCUCGGGGGGCUUUUCUUGCGGCCCUACCCUACUUGGCCCCAUCCGCCUCGUGGCACUUGAUUUUCAUUGAGGCCUCGCCAUCCUCGUGGCUGGUUUUUGUCAUCUUUUCUAAAGUGUGUCUCGACUUGAGCUCCGAAUCUCAGAGUUUCCGAGGCGUGAUUUAAAUUUGCUGCAGCUUGCUUUUCUCUGUGGCUUGAUAAAAUAAAUACAUUUUCUGCUGCUCUGCACUGACUGAGUUUUCCUUUUUAUCGUGCCAAGGUGUGCCAUCAAUUGUGUCUUCCUCUGGCAUGGUUUUGGAUUUGCCUCUCCUGCAUUUCGGUUUUUGCAGCCAACUAUUUCCCCUGGUUUGGCUGCUGCAAUCUGUGGGCUGGCUAACUGGAAAUGGCAAAGAAAUGCAAAAUACUCGGCGAUAACCCAGAUACAAGUUGUCGUUCGGCUUGGGCAGAGGUUUCACUGAUCCAUCCAAGCCACACACCAGCAACCUUGAAGGCGACAUCAACUUAUGGAUUUUCCAUCAGAGGGAGAAGAUACUUUAUGGCAUUAGUCCCAAAUUCCCACAUGCUAAUUACAACGCUGAGAACUAUCAAUUACCUGCGAUUGGAUAUUCAAUUCACUCGACGGCUUAUAAAUCAAAAAACAUGUGCAAGCCGCCAGUCAAGACGAAAAUAUAUCUGCCGACCAUUCAGCCAUUGUUAGCAGAUGUGGUGGUCUGGUCUGGUCUGGCCUGUCGGCCUGCUAAGCUGCUCGCGCAAACAAUUGGCCAAUUUAUUGCAUGAUUAGAUUUUCAAUAAAAGCUACAAAAAAAAUACAACAAGCGAAACAAAACCGAAAAUCAAUAAAACAAAAGUUCUCGAGGCCCCCAGAAAACAGAAUUGAGCAAGAAAUCAAAACUUUUCA